rnacentral:rRNA from 1 species
GAUGAACGCUGGCGGCGUGCUUAACACAUGCAAGUCGAACGGAAAGGCCCAAGCUUGCUUGGGUACUCGAGUGGCGAACGGGUGAGUAACACGUGGGUGAUCUGCCCUGCACUUCGGGAUAAGCCUGGGAAACUGGGUCUAAUACCGGAUAGGACGAUGGUUUGGAUGCCAUUGUGGAAAGUUUUUUCGGUGUGGGAUGAGCUCGCGGCCUAUCAGCUUGUUGGUGGGGUAAUGGCCUACCAAGGCGUCGACGGGUAGCCGGCCUGGGAGGGUGUACGGCCACAUUGGGACUGAGAUACGGCCCAGACUCCUACGGGAGGCAGGAGUGGGGAAUAUUGCACAAUGGGCGCAAGCCUGAUGCAGCGACGCCGCGUGGGGGAUGACGGCCUUCGGGUUGGAAACUCCUUUCGCUAGGGACGAAGCGUUUUUGUGACGGUACCUGGAGAAGAAGCACCGGCUAACUACGU